rnacentral:rRNA from 1 species
AAGGAUCAUUACCGAGUUGAUUCGGGCUCCGGCCCGAUCCUCCCACCCUUUGUGUACCUACCUCUGUUGCUUUGGCGGGCCGCGGUCCUCCGCGGCCGCCCCCCUCCCCGGGGGGGUGGCCAGCGCCCGCCAGAGGACCAUCAAACUCCAGUCAGUAAACGAUGCAGUCUGAAAAACAUUUAAUAAACUAAAACUUUCAACAACGGAUCUCUUGGUUCUGGCAUCGAUGAAGAACGCAGCGAAAUGCGAUAAGUAAUGUGAAUUGCAGAAUUCAGUGAAUCAUCGAAUCUUUGAACGCACAUUGCGCCCUUUGGUAUUCCGAAGGGCAUGCCUGUUCGAGCGUCAUUACAACCCUCAAGCUCUGCUUGGUAUUGGGCACCGUCCUUUGCGGGCGCGCCUCAAAGACCUCGGCGGUGGCGUCUUGCCUCGAGCGUAGUAGAACGUACAUCUCGCUUCGGAGCGCAGGGCGUCGCCCGCCGGACGAACCUUCUGAACUUUUCUCAAGGUUGACCUCGGAUCAGGUAGGGAUACCCGCUGAACUUAA